rnacentral:rRNA from 1 species
GACGAACGCUGGCGGCGUGCCUAAUACAUGCAAGUAGGACGCAGUUGCGAACGGGUGAGUAACGCGAAGGUAACUGCCUAUUAGUGGGGGAUAACUAUUGGAAACGAUAGCUCAUACCGCAUACUAGUAGAUGGAACUGCGUUGUAUUAGCUAGUAGGUAGGGUAAUGGGCUACCUAGGAGACGAUACAUAACCGAGCUUGGAGGGAGGUCGGCCACACUGGGACUGAGAAACGGGCCAGACUCCUACGGGAGGCAGCAGUAGGGAAUCUUCGGCAAUGGGGGGAACCCUGACCGAGCAACGGCGCGGGAGAGGAGAAGGUUUUCGGAUCGGAAAGCUCUGUUGAUAAGGAAGCGUUACUUAACCAGGAAGGGACGGCUAACUACGUGCCAGCAGCCGCGGUAAUAC